CGCACGAGAAAGGGGCUUCGGCCCUGAGUACAGUGGCGCACGGGUGAGUAACACGUGAAUCAUCUACCUCCGAGUGGGGAAUAACCUAGAGAAAUCUGGGCUAAUACCGCAUAACACUUACGAGUCAAAGCAGCAAUGCGCUUGGAGAGGAGUUCGCGGCAGAUUAGUUAGUUGGCGGGGUAAUGGCCCACCAAGACGAUGAUCUGUAUCCGGCCUGAGAGGGCGCACGGACACACUGGAACUGAAACACGGUCCAGACUCCUACGGGAGGCAGCAGUGGGGAAUUUUGCGCAAUGGGGGAAACCCUGACGCAGCAACGCCGCGUGGAGGAUGAAAUCCCUUGGGAUGUAAACUCCUUUCGAUCGGGACGAUUAUGACGGUACCGGAAGAAGAAGCCCCGGCUAACUUCGUGCCAGCAGCCGCGGUAAUACGAGGGGGGCAAGCGUUGUUCGGAAUUAUUGGGCGUAAAGGGCGCGUAGGCGGUUUGACAAGUCUGAUGUGAAAUCUCUGGGCUCAACCCAGAGUCUGCAUUAGAAACUGUCGGGCUUGAGUAUGGGAGAGGUGAGUGGAAUUUCCGGUGUAGCGGUGAAAUGCGUAGAUAUCGGAAGGAACACCUGUGGCGAAAGCGGCUCACUGGACCAUAACUGACGCUGAGGCGCGAAAGCUAGGGGAGCAAACAGGAUUAGAUACCCUGGUAGUCCUAGCCCCUAACGAUGAUUGCUUGAUGUGACAGGUACCCAAU
rnacentral:rRNA from 1 species